GCGCGGCGCGGGCCCCGUGGGCUCCGCUCUCCCCUCUCUCCCGCGCGUCCCUCGUCUAAAAGUUGGUUUUAAUUGGUUGCCCACAGGAUUGGCUUGGCUUCUGCUACUUGUUAAGAAAAAAACAUCUGUCUUUGCAGAUGGCUGCGUGUGUGACCCGAGUGGAGCUGUCUGUGUCCUGCCGGAGCCUCCUCGACAAGGACCUGGGCUCUCGCUCAGACCCGCUGUGCGUCCUGCUGCAGGACAUAGGUGGCCAGUGGGCAGAGCUAGAUCGCACAGAGAGGAUCAAGAACUGCCAAGACCCUGAAUUCUGCAAGAAACUGGUUGUGGACUACUACUUUGAGAAAGUGCAGAAGCUGAAAUUUGGCGUGUAUGAUAUCGAUAACAAGUCCUUUGAUUUAAACGACGAUGACUAUCUCGGAGGGGUUGAGUGCACACUUGGACAGGUUGUGUCCAGCUCGGUAUUCACCCGACCGCUGGAACUGAAGCAGGGAAAGCCAGCAGGAAAGGGCACCAUCACAAUUUCAGCAGAGGAGAUCAAAGACACCAGGGCCGUGUACUUGGAAAUUGAAGCCCGAAAUUUGGACAAAAAGGAUUUCUUGGGUAAAUCAGAUCCAUUUUUGGAGCUGUACAAGCAGACCGAUGCUGGAACAUGGCAGCUGGUGUACAGAUCAGAGGUGAUUAAGAACAACUUGAAUCCAUGCUGGAGGAAGUUCAGCGUUCCCUUGCAGACAUUUUGUGGUGGAGAUUUUAAUAAACCUAUCAAGGUACAGUGUGCGGAUCACGACAGCGACGGAUCACAUGACUUGAUAGGCACUUUUGAAACGAACCUGGCUCAGCUGCAGAAAGUGGGCGACGGCUCUCCGGUGGAAUUUGAAUGCAUUCAUCCUGAGAAAAAACAAAAGAAAAAGAGUUACAAGAACUCUGGUGUUAUUAGGAUAAAAUCCUGCAAGAUUGAGACCGAGUAUUCCUUUCUGGACUAUGUCAUGGGAGGCUGCCAGAUUAACUUUACAGUGGGCAUAGACUUCACUGGCUCCAACGGAGAUCCCAGGUCACCAGAUUCUCUUCACUAUAUCAGCCCAGAUGGGAUAAAUGAGUACCUGAUUGCCAUCUGGAGUGUGGGAAGUGUCGUCCAGGAUUAUGACACGGACAAGCUGUUUCCUGCGUUUGGGUUUGGAGCUCAGGUUCCUCCUAGCUGGCAGGUAUCGCAUGAAUUUGCUUUGAACUUCAACCCCAGCAACCCUUACUGUCAAGGGAUCCAGGGAAUAGUGGAUGCCUACCGCCAGAUCCUUCCGCAGAUCCGACUCUAUGGACCAACCAAUUUCUCUCCUAUUAUAAACCAUGUGGCCAGGUUUGCAGCACAUUCGGCACAACAAGGAACUGCUUCACAAUAUUUUAUCUUGCUGAUCAUCACAGAUGGAGAGAUCACGGAUCUGGACCAGACUAGGCAGGCGAUUGUUGAUGCCUCUAAGCUGCCGAUGUCCAUCAUCAUCGUUGGAGUUGGUGAAGCUGAUUUCAAGGCAAUGGAGUUCCUUGAUGGAGACAACGGUGUCCUGAAGUCCCUGACAGGAGAGCCAGCUGCACGAGACAUUGUCCAGUUUGUGCCAUUCCGACAGUUCAGAAAUGCUGAACAACCCCAACUUCUCUCAGCCUGUCCUUGGAUGGGAGGUGCUCCGGCUCUCAGAUCAUCUUCGUAGCCCUCAUCUGGACCUGUUCCAGUAGUCCCUAUAUACUUAUGUUGGGCAUUCCAGAACUGGACACUGAACUCCAGGCUCCGCGGGAAGCCCUUUCCCAGAUGGUUCUGGCUGAAGUGCCCAAGCAGCUGGUGUCGUACUACAAGUGGCAGGGCUGGCCGCCCGUGAAACCACCGGAGACAAAGAAGAUGUAGAUCGCAGCCUGGCCCUAACUGCCCGUGUCACUGGGGUUGAGAGAGCACUCCGCACCCACACCCUCGCUUGCAUACUGGGGGGCUCAGUGCCUCCUGAUUGCACCGUGCAACUAACUGUCCUAUCUGCUUGCACUCUGUAUCUUUGAUCUUUCCUGUUCUUAACUGGAAGACAAGUAAAUACAGAAAAACCACAACUGUUGGCAGUUCUUGUCAGAGUAAAAAACAACCUUCUUGGUUUACCACUUUGCAACAAUGACACAUUGUACCACCUCUGGUGGCUCCACAGGGCCCAUCCGCUGCUUGUACUGGAGUGGGUGUGUGCACAGAGCUGCUCAGGCAGUGCUGUUCAGUCGGGGGGGGGGUUGGUAGAAAUGUUUCAGGUGUGUUUGUAGUAAAUAUUUACCAUGUUCCUUCAUAGGCUUUUUCUCUUCUACCAAGAAGGGUUUUGGGAUUGGGUUCCCUUUUGUGCUGAUUGAUAUCAAAGCCUGGGUGGAUGCCUGAGGUGGUUCUUGUUGUGCCUCCAUAAAGUGCCAGUCUAUUUUUAUAUGUAGAGGUCUAUUUUUACAUUUCAGUGACCAUUCCCUGCAAUCAUUUUUUCAGUCACAUUUUUCUAUUUGGAAAAUUUGCUUCUGUGAUGGCCUCUUCCUUGGAGCCAUUGUUGUAAUUUAAGAACACUGCACUUUGCUUAUUUUAGGUGGGAAUGAUGAGGAUUAAUUUUGAAUUGGGGAGUGGGAUCAAUGAAUCACAUUAAUCAUAGAAUGACAGAAUGGUUUGGGUUGGAAGGCCCCUGCCAUGGGCAGAGACACCUCCCACUGGACCAAUGUGACUUUCAAAAAUCCAGCAACUUGAAACCCUGAAGUGAAGAUAUUUUGAGCGAUGUUGUUGUGUGACAGAAGUAGGAAAAGAAGUUGCUAUCUGUGGCUCUCCAAAGAGGUGCUUUGUUGUCCUCAGAAGUGGGGGAAGGGUCUGAGGACCGUAGAGCACCACAGCAGAGCAACGCACAGUGGUUUCGAGAUAAGAGUUAGAUGCUUGGGCUUGUCAUUGCACUACAAGUGGUCAUCACUUUCAGCUUCAUAAAUAAAUAAUCUGUUUU